GAGCGUUCGCAAGGGGGUGGGGUCGGCCGCGCCCGGGCUCCAGCUGAUUGGGCCUGGGGAAAGUCACUCAGAGGAGUCAACUAAUUUUAUACAUUCCUCGCUGAGCGAGACUGGGGCUGGAAGUGGGUGUUGAUAGGAAAAAAAUGCUGCCUUUCUGCUAUCUCUAAGGAAAAGGAGAUAAUAGGAUGGGGGGAAACCUUGCGGGUCGUGUUGUCAACUUCUCUUGGCAUAUUUACUGUGUCCCAGAUCAGAAACGAAACAAACCCACCCGGGCCCCCUUUUUAAGGAAAAACAAUUGCCUCUGUGUCGCGGACAAGUGCGGGUCUGCCGGCGCGUGGAGCGAAAAAUGGCUAGCUUGAAGACACACGAAUAAAGGAAAACGCCAGCUCGCUCUUCUACCCUUUUAUCUUGGGACUGCUGAGUGUUCCCUUAGAGGAGGAAUUUAGAACUUCAAAAGCACUUGGAAAGAUUUGGAAGAGAAUCCCAAAAACGGCGACUCAGCAAUGAAUUGUUAACUGGUGGCAUUAUCAACCAUGUGGCUGCUUUUGCUUUUAGCGAUGAAAAUCACACCGAGUUUCCAGGCAAAUAAAAUUGGACCUCUGAAGUAAGAAAAUUUACUAUUUACCUUUCUAAAGACCUGAAGUCUGCUGUUUUCAUGCACAACUGAAAAGGGGGGGAAUCUCACAAUUGAGUUCAACGAGCCACAUGAGAAUAAUUACUGUUGAACAGAACCAAUUGCAGAGGCUGAGCUAUCAAUUAAGAAUUAACUAACAUUUAAGCUUGACAGAUAUCAUGCUGUAUAAUCCCCUUGGCUAACAGAGCAGAAUGAUUCUCAGGAGAUGGUCCUUUUAGUAAGCCUAGGAUCUGAUCUAAGGCAGGACUGAAUGGUUGAAAAGUGGCUCUAUUCUUAUGAGAUGUAGGUAGCCUAUGAUCCAUCAUCUUCUGGAAGGACAAUGAAUUCAUUAUUGGCUCUUUGAUGGUUUUUAUUGUCUGGUUUUUGUUGUUGUUUUUGAGGAAGAUUAGCCCUGAGCUAACAUCUGCCAUCAAUCCUCCUCUUUUUUUGCUGAGGAAGAUUAGCCCUUGGCUAACAUCUGUGCCCAUCUUCCUCUGUUUUGUAUGUGAGAUGCCUGCCACAGCAUGGCUUGAUAAGCAGUGCAUAGGUCCACGCCCAGCAUCUGAACUGGCAAACCGGGAACCACCAAAGCAGAAGGCAGUGAACCUAACCACUACGCCACCUGGCCCACCCCUAUUUGUCUGUUUUUUGAUUGAUGACAACAUGUCAUAACAUUUUACCCUUCUGCCCAAAACUGUCGAAGGAUGCAUAGAGCCCAACACUGUGUCUCAUUUAAUCCUCACAACCAUCCUGUAAAGCGAGUGUCAUUAGCCCCAUUUAACAUAAGGAAUCCAAGGCUCGGCAAGAUUGUCUCUCAGUCUUUCUAUGGACCGCGACCAGAUGAGUUUUUUAAAACACUGUUUGAUAUUGCCGUCAACAUCUUCUCCUCUAAAUUGCUCCCCGCCCCCCACUUUCCCUGCAAUUCUUA
ensembl:lncRNA